AUGCAAAGAUCUUUGAAAAGAGAGUUAAAGAGUACCUGAAAUUGCUGAAAAGGAAGCGAAGGAAACCAGUGCCAGGUGCGUCAUACUUCCCCAACCGCUUGCGGCUGGGGCGCUGUGGCCACCGUUGCCAGGCUUUGUUGGUUAGGCCGGAAGUGCGUCCAGGGAGUUGACCUGGGCAUGCCUUGGCCGGACCGACCGAGGUUGGCGAAAUGGUUUUCUUUUUCCCGUCUUGAAACACGGACCAAGGAGUCUAACAUAUGUGCGAGUACAGGGGUGACAAACCCCCGUGCGCAAUGAAAGUGACAGUGGCUUGAGCGUUUGCGCAAAGUCCGCCGGCCUCAAUCCCUCGGGAGAACGGUCUGAGUGUGAGCAUACAUGUUGGGACCCGAAAGAUGGUGAACUAUGCCUGAAUAGGGUGAAGCCAGGGGAAACUCUGGUGGAGGCUCGUAGCGAUUCUGACGUGCAAAUCGAUCGUCAAAUUUGGGUAUAGGGGCGAAAGACUAAUCGAACCAUACUAGUAGCUGGUUCCCUCCGAAAUUUCCCUCAGGAUAGCUGCGAUCGGAUAUCAAUUUUAUCA
rnacentral:rRNA from 1 species